rnacentral:lncRNA from 1 species
UUAUACGAAGAGACAGCGAACUCUGCGGUAUUUAUCCAAUAUGGUUCGCUGGUGUUCUGUACGGGAUCCCAAGUCUCAAGAACUUCAUCUGGGGCAGCAGCAGUCACAAGUGGAACGACCAGAACAAGGACUGCACUAACCCAUUGAAGACGCAUCGUACGUGACUGAGUUAUUGAUUUGGUUGGAUUUUUUAGUUUGAGGGUAGAGAUUGAUGUUGCUAGGUAAGGUAUCUAUAGCGGUUGGUUUUUUUUAUCUUUUAUUUUUUAUUUUUUAUAUGGAUUGAUAUUUUUUGUUGUUGGAAUAGAUGCUUUAUACACGCAUCCAAAACCCAACGUAAAAG